CAGUAGCCACGGUAAUACAGAGGCCUCAAGCGUUGUUCGGAUUCAUUGGGCGUAAAGGGUGCGUAGGCGGUUCCGUCAGUCGGAUGUGAAAUCCUGGGGCUCAACCCCAGAACUGCAUUCGAUACUGCGGGGCUAGAGGACUGGAGAGGAGAGUGGAAUUCACGGUGUAGCAGUGAAAUGCGUAGAUAUCGUGAGGAAGACCAGCGGCGAAGGCGGCUCUCUGGACAGUUCCUGACGCUGAUGCACGAAGGCCAGGGGAGCAAACGGGAUUAGAUACCCCCGUAGUCCCUGUCUCUUAUAC
rnacentral:rRNA from 1 species